CCUUCAUCCGCAGUCCAAGACAAGCUCUGCGGCCGCAACGCCCUGCCACCCCUCAUUCCCGGACUUUGGCAGGGCCUGGCCCCACGAAAAGGCCAAAACACAGCUCUGGGUUCAUUCUGCCCGUGGGAUCCCCAACAUCCACCACAGCCCAGCCAGGGCCACCAAAGCCUUGCUGACCCCUGGCCCAGGACGCCUCACCUUGUACAAGGCACUGACUUUCUCC